AGAAGAAACAGAAGAGAGGAGACAAACCCUGGGGGACAGAGACACACAGAUGCAAAUAGAGACAAAAGCAGCUAACAGACACAGAGGGACCCAGACACCCCCAGAGAUGUUGAGCUGCUGAACUGCCAUACCCCUGACCCCUCUGUGUCCACCAGGUGGCGCCCAAGAGCCACAUACCAUGUCAGGCCAGUCCUUCUCAGCCCCUUCUGGAGCCCAAGUGCAACACAGCCUUAACAGGAGGCUCUGGGCCCUGGGAUGUGGGGCGGAGGUGGAGGCUGGAGCAAGGGGAGCCUCCCUAACCUGACCAUCCCAGGCCAAAGCCCUGGGUUAUGUGUGCAUGUCUCGUGUGCAUUUCUGUGCUUGUUUUGGGCUGAGUUUGCCUUGGUCUGUGUGUGCCUGUUUUAAAGUGUGUGUGUCUCAGAGUGUACGUUUACAUGUGUCCUUGUGUGUGUCUGGGGAGGGGGGAUGGCUGUAUGUGUCUUCAUACCCACAGGAACCUGCCACUACCCUCUCCACCUUCCCUGGAAGCUAGGCAUUGAGUAACCCCAGGAAUUCAAGAACUGAAGCAUUUAUGGAGCACCUGCAGGUGCCCAGUCUGUCAUGGGGUCCCCCAAAAAAUAUUCCCUAGGGAGACAGGAACAGGAGUUCACGGAGCUGACUGAGCAAGAUAAGUACCUGCUGUGAGCCAGGCCCUAGCUUGGGGGGCUAACUUUCAUGCUGUGGGCUCAGUUUUGUCAUCUGUAAAAUGGACCUGAUAAUAGCAUCUACCUCAUAGUUUUGCCAUUAAGUGAUUGAGUUGAGUUUUGAAAAGCUCUUCGCACCGUGCCUGGCACAGCUUAAGGCUCAGUAAGUGUCAGAAACCAUUCCAUUUAACCCUUAUAGCUACAGGCACAUCAAUUAACUCAUGGAUCAGCUGGAGCGCCAGAGAACUUUCCACUCACUGCUCAGAUUAUGAGGGUUGCCUUAAAGACCUAAUGAGGCGGAUGCUCAGAUGUCUGCACAAAACCACCCUCUUGGUCUAGCUCCGUGGUCCUCAAAGGCAGUGUACAGCAGAAUGAGCAGAUGGGGUCAUGCUGGGUGUACACAUUAGAGCUACAUGCCGUUCCAGGCAUCGGGGAUUCAGCAGUGAACAAAACACAAAAUCCCUGCCUUGGGGGGCUUGUGCUCUAGUGGGAAAAAAACAUAAUAAAUGAAAUGGAUUUGUCAUUCGACAAAGGUGAGUCAUUAUAAUUAGUUAUUAUCCAUCAGAGGCUUCCAAUACAAUUUGCCGUUCUACCUUCCAGAAAGAUGGUACUUAUUCCAGCAACAGAGGUGAGUGCCAUUGCCUUGCACCCUCACAGAAUUUAAUAUCAAUGUUACCGGAUCACUUGAAUAUUAGAGUGGGGAGAAUCCUAGGGGGCUAACACUGUCUCAUGUGAGUCUUUAUUUUAUGAUUUCCCACCUAUGUCUUCUAUGUGUUCAAAGUGGCAUCCAUUUUCUUUGCAUGUUUCUCCCUGUUCUUAUUGAUUUCUCACAACUUUUUGUAUAUAAAGAUGCCACUUUUGAACAUGUUGCUAGCAAAUAGCCUGUUUCUAAUAGAGCUAGAGUGGAAUAACAUCAUUUACCAAAAGGCACCACCAUGAGCCCUCAUUGGCCAGGUAUCCUAGCAAUAAAUUCCUUAUGAAGUUUCCCUGGGGUGGGACACAUAGACCCAAGAAGUAGUAGCUAUGAAGAAAGUGUUGUGACCCAAGACAAGGCCUUUCUUAGCUGAGGAUUAUUGUAUCCAUCUUCUAAAAUAGACCACACACUGUCAGGGACCUUUCUAACAUGUAACUUAGACCAUGCCUCUCCCUUGUUUCAAACCCUCCCCUUAGAAGAGAAUCCGAACUUCCCCAUGUCCCUCUCAAAGCCACCCUCUCUGCACCACAUUCUCCUUUUGGUACCAAACCAGGCAGCAGCACCCCAGCACUCCCACUAACUCAUUCCUGCCAUGUUCCAGGGGCUGCAUUCCACCUUCCUGUGUGGCUUUGGGGACACUUCCAUUUUCUCUUCUGAGAAACUGGAGGACAAAAGUACAGACCUCAUAGGCUUGGUGACAGUGGGGUAACUGAUUGGAAAGCGUGGAGGAACGUCUUGUGCUUUUUCCAAAACCUUUUCAGCCUCUCCUUGGGUGGACCUCGGCAAACCACUGCCUAGGGGCCCACUUUCUGCAUCAAAAUGAGAACACAAAGUAUGUGCUGUUACUAGUCUGGGGAGGGCAAUCCCUUCGGUGCUCAGGGAGAGCAUCAGGCCUGGUAGGGACAGUAGGGGACUCACAUGCCAUCCACAGCAGUUACCGCGUAGCCUGGGAGCCCAGUGGAGCUCUAACUUCUUAUAUGUGAACACUCACCAAUUAUUUAAAAAAACAAAACAAAACAAAACCAUUAUGUGGGCCUCUGGACUUGCAGUUUGAGAGACCUCUGGCCCAAGGGAACAAGUCAUUAGAAAUCUCCUUGAUGUCAUGAGUCUAGGCACCUGUGAUUCCAGAAUUUGGCCAAGUCCAAAUCAAGUUCAGUGGCUGUGUCAGGGCAAACAGGAUGUGUAGGGGCAAACUGACAGAGCACCUGCCCUCCCUUCCUAUCUAUCUGCCUGUAGUAUCCCUUCUGCCUCGGAGGGCCUAUGCUCUCUGGCCCCCUUUUAAAACCUGUUCUCCUCACUUCCCACGGAUUCUAUGACCUCCCUCAGAGCAUUCCCCAACGUCCCUUUGCCCCUAAGACAGCCAGAAGUGAUGUGUUUUGAUUGCCACUCGGAACCCUGACCCUCAUACUAGCGAGUUCUUGAUUCUAGAAUCAAUGAGAAGAGGUGAAUAUUCUAGGGUCUAGAACACCAGGCCUUCCAAGGUGCUGGGAGUCAGUGACCCCACAGUUCUGAGCCUCCCAGGUUCCAGAGCUCAGGGACUCUCCAGCUUGUCCCUGUCCGUCUGGCUCUUCCAUAAUUGCCCAUGACAGAUAAUAGUGUCUCCGGGCGGAAAUCACGAUUUCUUCAAUCCAGCAGCCCAGGCAGAGGGCCUGCUGCCCACAGCCACCUGGCUCUUCCUAACAGCUUAAUGAGAAGUCAGAAUUAAUUGGAACUGGCACCCAACACUCACAGGGCUCAGAGUGGCCGGCUUGGCCUCCAUAUGUCAAAGCCAAGUGUCCCUGGGCCUUGCUCUGAUCUGUCCUAGACACCAACAGGUGUGACACGUGAGGCCUGGAGCUUAGCGCGACAAGGGAGGUCGCUGGCUGGGGCCGUGGUGACCCGGUGGUGCAGGUGGAGCCAGCCCAUUCACCUUCCCUGGAGACAGUGUGCAUCCUCAUCCUACUGCUUCCGCCUGUGGGCCUCAGUUUUCCCCCUUCGUUCAAUGAGCUUGCCUCCCGGUCCACUGUGGGUUACAAGUAAAUUGCUCAGUACAUGCAUUGUGCUAUAACCUGUCCUUGGGCCCACGGGUAGGUUCCCAGGGGACAGAGCUAGUUUACCGUGCCAAUAGCUAUUUUCAGAUUACGCCAUUUCACACUCCAAACUCCAAGGUGUGAGAUGGCUGUUUUCCUAACACCCUGGCCACAUAGCAAAUUACCCAACUUUUUCACCUUCAGCUACCUGACAGAUUUAGUUUUAAAGAGGCAUUUCAUGGUAGUUUUAUUUUCUAUCUAGCUGACCAUGAGUGGAAAGGAGCUUCCUCUCAUGUGUUUAGAAGACACUUGUAUUUUGUCUUUUGCCUCUUUUUUUAUUGGCCUGUUGGUCCUUAUCGACUUUUGGAAGGUUUUUACAUAUAAAGGAAAUCAGCCUCUUGUUGAUCAGUCUUGGGAAAGUUUCCCUGACUCUGUUGACCGUUUAGUGUUUGUGUGUGUGUGUGCAAGGAUUUUUCUAUUUGCACGUAGUCAGUCAUUAAUCUUUUAAUUAAAGGCUUCAGGGUUUCAUGUCAGGCUUUAAGGAACUAGGGUUAUUGUUUUUUACUCCCGUGUUUUCUUGUAGUAGUUUAUAGUUUCUGUCUCUCUCCCUUUUAUUCUGGGAGGGGAAAUCCAUCUGUAACUUGCUUUUAGCCACCUUCAAAAUCUCCACCUGAAAUCUGAUUGUAUAAGAAGCUGCAGAGUCAGUGGACAACAGCAGGAGUGCUGAAGCCAGGCAGCUGGGGUUCAAAUCCUGGCCCUGCCACUUCUCACUGUGGAUUGGCAGGGAAGCCAUUUAUCUUCUCUCUGCCUCAGUUUGCUCAUCUGUAAAAUGGGAGACAAUAGCGUCACGUGAGAGUUAAAGGACAUGUUCUGUUUUUUCAGUCAAGCACCUAGAAGACCACCUGUCACUUAGCAGGUGUUUUUCAUACUUACUAAUUAUUUUUUUAUUUGCUUUCUUUAAGAGUCAAAUUGCACUUUUUUCUGAAGACCCUCUGAGCCUAGCCGAUCAGUGGGUGGCUGUGCUUCAGGAGCACUUACCAGUGCUCUGCCCUCAGUCAUCCCACCUCAUAAGCACCCCACUGGAUGUGCGACACACGGAGGCCCAGGGUUGCUGAGUCUCUUCCUGAGAAACUUCCAAGGAUCAAGGUCAGGGUUAGAGCCCACACCCUGUCCACUGCCCUGAUGUGGGCUCCAUCUGAACUGGCGUCUAAGUAUAGGCUUAAUCAUCGAGGUCAAGCCAGGAACCUGGCUACCCAGAACUGGUCAGUCCUGUCCUGGCGGCUGUGGGCAGGGGCAGGUGGCAAUCAGGGAAGGCUUUCGGGAAUAGGGCGCUUGCGUAAGUGUGACUGGAGAGACGAGAGGGUACUGAGAAAGGGUUGCACUCGAAGGGGGAGGCAUGCAACUGGGAGUGGCUGAGCCCCUGUUCACAAACCUGCCACUGACCAUAGCCCUAACUCCUGCUCUUCCCUACUGGGCACCCACUGAACUACACAGUUGGUGACUGUAGGUAGGUGUCUUCUUGGUGGGAGUGUUGAACUCCUAUUCAUCUGCCAAAGCCCUAGCUCCAACGCCUACCCAUCCGGGAAGCCAUCCCCACAUGCUGACCUUUUCCAGCCUGGGGUCUCCAUUCCUACUCGAGCCCUGAUCUCACAGGCUGGGAGUGUCUGUGUCCAGCUCUGUGUGCCCCAACUUCAACUGGGAGACCCUUGAUGGCAGGGUCUUAGGUUGUGAUUUCUCUGGCACCCAGCACUGCCCAGCCCGGCCCAGGCAACAAAGAGUAGAUGCUUGUUGAAUGUGUCUUGAAGGAAAUAAGGUAGUAAAGGAGUGAGCGACGAAUAUAAACCUCAGUCAUUUACCUCCCUCUGCCCACAGCCCUCCAGUGCCCCCAACUCCCUCCGGGUAAAAAGCCCAAGUGCUCUCUAAGGCCCACACAGCCCUGUAUGACCUGUCCCUCCUCACCGUCCUGACCUCACUUCCUCCCUCUCUCCCCCUCGCUCACUCUGCUCCUGCACCAGGGCCUCCUCGCUGUUGCCCCAGCCAUCAAGCACGAUUCUGCCCCAGGGCCUAUGCACUGGCUGUUCCCGCCCCAUGUGCGGUACUCUUGAUCCACGACCCUUUGCGCGGUUGGCUCACUGCUUCUCACCUUCAGAACUCAAUUCAAUGCCACCUCUUCAGAGAAAUCUGUCUUGACCUUGAUCUCUGUCCAAGAGAACCACCAAUUUCUCUUUCCUCCUUUUUCUCUCCCUAGCACUCCCCAUGAUAGGAUGCCUUGGUAUUCAAGUAUUAUCUUCACCAUGUGUCUCCUUUUCGUAUGUUUUGUUCGCAGCUAUCUAUGGCACUUCCAGUAGGCACUUUUAACAUCUGUGCAUAAACGGAGGGGUUCUGCGCGUGGGGGCGAGGGGCCCUCGGUCUGCCCUCUCUGCGAGCCCCGCCCUCACUGGGCCUCCCUCAAGCACACUGGGCGUGGCAGGGCGGGGCGCGGCGGGGGCGGGCGGCUGGGCCUGUCGGGCGGGUGCUCAGGGCACUAGUGGCUGGGCCGGGUGUGGAGCUCCCGGCCGGCGCCAUGGAGGGGCUGCGGCGGGGCCUGUCGCGCUGGAAGCGCUACCACAUCAAGGUGCAUCUGGCGGACGAGGCGCUACUGCUGCCGCUCACGGUGCGGCCGCGCGACACGCUCAGCGACUUGCGCGCCCAGCUGGUGGGCCAGGGUGUGAGCUCCUGGAAGCGUACCUUCUACUACAACGCGCGGCGACUGGACGACCACCAGACGGUGCGCGACGUGUGUCUACAGGACGGCUCCGUGCUGCUGCUCGUCAGUGACCCCAGGUAGUCUGGGCUGGAGGAGGUGGAGCCAUGACUGAGGGGACCGAAGAUGCCGGCUAAAGGAGCAGGCUGGGGCAGGGAAGCCUUUGGGAGGCUCUGGGUGGACUGUGAAACAUUGGCCUGACCAGCUGAUGGCCUCGGACACUCCUGACGGAGCCCCGCUCCCUGACACUGAACUAGGACGUUGUUGCCCCAGCCUGUCAGGCUGUGCUGUGUGACCUGAGGCCAUGGCUCCCCCUAGGGACCUUGAGUACCCAGUCUGCAGCGGGAACCACCACGCCACCUCGGCAGGCUCCCGCGCACAGCCAGGGGAUAUCCUAUGAAGAGGAGCACAGAGACAAGAGAGGAGCUCAGGGCAGCGCCUCCCCUGCCGUGCCCAUUCUCUCGCCACACCUUUGCCCGAGCUGUGCCACCUGCCUAAAGCAACUCACACUCCUCUCUGCGGCUCCAACCCACCUGGGAUUCCAGCCUCCUCCAGGAAGUCUUCUCGGAUGCCCUCCUGCCCAGCCACUGAGCACCUUGUCCUCUUUUGUACCCUCACAAAUCCCUUUUACUGUGAACAGCCUUGACUGUGGGGUACGACCAGUCACUCAGGAAAUCUCAAUGACUAAAGGUGGAGACUGGGGGACCCUCGCCCUCCCCCGGUUUCCAGCGUCGCCCUGUGUCCCCCACCCUCACCCCCAAAUACCUCCACAUGUUGCAAUCUGUGCCCACACCCUUGGAGGUGGCCUCUUCGUAAUGCCUUGCCACCCUGUCCCCUGCACGGGCUCUCCCGGCUGGGCCUGAAGUGUUCUGGUCCAGUAGGCAGGUAUCUGGGGGCCCCUGUGCCUGGCAGAGUGCUGAGGCGUGGGUGGUAAUGUUUUCUUUCCCACCCUACUUUGUUUUUAUUGUGACAAUAAAACACACUUUUGUCUGGUCCCAAUGCCACAGA